AAGUCGUAACAAGGUUUCCGUAGGUGAACCUGCGGAAGGAUCAUUACAACGUCCAAAAGACAAACCAAUCGCGAACUUAGUACCCUUUGGACUAAAGGCAGAGCGGAUGUAAACCUUUGUGAUGAAGGCGCCUCGGCGCCUUGGGUCAUCACUUCUAACAUUACUAAACCCUUUAACACUUUUGAACUGACUUGUUGUUAACGCGGUGCUCCUUUCCGGAGUGCUACUUAACAAUUGAUUACGUAAAUUACGAACAACUCUUAACAACGGAUAUCUUGGUUCUC
rnacentral:misc_RNA from 1 species